GAGGGUAUAGUUCAAGUGGUAGAGCACAUGCUUACCAUGCACAAGGUCCUGGGUUCAAUCCCCAGUAUCUCCU
rnacentral:tRNA from 1 species